UACGAAGGGGGGCUAGCGUUGUUCGGAAUUACUGGGCGUAAAGGGCGCGUAGGCGGCGUGUCAAGUCAGGCGUGAAAGCCCCGGGCUCAACCUGGGAACCGCGCUUGAGACUGGCAUGCUCGAGUUCGGGAGAGGAUGGUGGAAUUCCCAGUGUAGAGGUGAAAUUCGUAGAUAUUGGGAAGAACACCGAUGGCGAAGGCAGCCAUCUGGACCGACACUGACGCUGAGGCGCGAAAGCGUGGGGGAGCAAACAGG
rnacentral:rRNA from 1 species